rnacentral:rRNA from 1 species
UUUAUUUUAUGGCAUCAUAGAAUAAUCAAAGGAGUAAUCCGCUUUGAGAUGGACCCGCGGCGCAUUAGCUAGUUGGUGAGGUAAGGGCUCACCAAGGCGACGAUGCGUAGCCGACCUGAGAGGGGGAUCGGCCACAUUGGAACUGAGACACGGUCCAGACUCCUACGGGAGGCAGCAGUGGGGAAUAUUGCGCAAUGGGGGAAACCCUGACGCAGCAACGCCGCGUGAGUGAUGAAGGUUUUCGGAUCGUAAAACUCUGUCUUUAGGGACGAUAAUGACGGUACCUAAGGAGGAAGCCACGGCUAACUACGUGCCAGCAGCCGCGGUAAUACGUAGGUGGCAAGCGUUGUCCGGAUUUACUGGGCGUAAAGAGUAUGUAGGUGGGUGCUUAAGUCAGAUGUGAAAUUCCCGGGCUUAACCUGGGCGCUGCAUUUGAAACUGGGCAUCUAGAGUGCAGGAGAGGAAAGUGGAAUUCCUAGUGUAGCGGUGAAAUGCGUAGAGAUUAGGAAGAACACCAGUGGCGAAGGCGACUUUCUGGACUGUAACUGACACUGAGAUACGAAAGCGUGGGUAGCAAACAGGAUUAGAUACCCUGGUAGUCCACGCCGUAAACGAUGAAUACUAGGUGUCGGGGGGUACCACCCUCGGUGCCGCAGCAAACGCAUUAAGUAUUCCGCCUGGGGAGUACGGUCGCAAGAUUAAAACUCAAAGGAAUUGACGGGGACCCGCACAAGCAGCGGAGCAUGUGGUUUAAUUCGAAGCAACGCGAAGAACCUUACCUAGACUUGACAUCUCCUGAAUUACUCUUAAUCGAGGAAGUCCCUUCGGGGACAGGAAGACAGGUGGUGCAUGGUUGUCGUCAGCUCGUGUCGUGAGAUGUUGGGUUAAGUCCCGCAACGAGCGCAACCCUUAUUGUUAGUUGCUACUAUUAAGUUAAGCACUCUAACGAGACUGCCGCGGUUAACGUGGAGGAAGGUGGGGAUGACGUCAAAUCAUCAUGCCCCUUAUGUCUAGGGCUACACACGUGCUACAAUGGCUGGUACAACGAGCAGCAAACCCGCGAGGGGGAGCAAAACUUGAAAGCCAGCC